GAGCGAGGGAAGGAGAGACUCAAGGAAGGAGCCGGGCGCUCGAGCUGCGGUGGGCGUUGCGAGGUGAAACAACAGUCGCAGAGGCCGUGACAGUUGGUCUCUCCUGGCGCAGUCCAGCCCACGGAUCCGCGGUGGAGAACACGAGCACCGCUCGGCUCGCUUGCAAGCUCCAGGGUAGGGCACCCAGGCCUGUCAAGGACCGCCGAGCAAGCGUCGCCGGGACAGCUGGCCCCGCAGAAAUAAUUGGUAACAAGACCUCCGUAGCCAUGGCUAGUUCUGACGUGAAACCAAAAUCCAUAAGUCGUGCCAAAAAAUGGUCAGAAGAGAUAGAAAAUCUGUACAGAUUUCAACAAGCAGGAUAUCGAGAUGAAAUUGAAUAUAAACAAGUGAAACAAGUUUCUGUGGUAGAUCGUUGGCCAGAGACAGGAUAUGUGAAGAAACUUCAGAGAAGGGACAAUACUUUCUAUUACUACAACAAACAGAGGGAAUGUGAUGACAAGGAAGUCCACAAAGUGAAAAUUUAUGCUUACUAGCCUUCCUGAUAUUUCCUGUCAUUAUCUUUUAAAAAUCCAUUGUUUCAUUCUGCAUCAUGUAAGUGCCUGUCAUUGUACAAAAUUCCCCACAAUGCAGACUCUGAUGGCAUGUUUUGAAACACCAAAGCCAUGAAGCUUGGUCUCUACUAAUCAUCCUGUUCUGUUCUAAAAUAUAACUGCAGUAGCUUUCCACUGGUACCCGCCUUGGUCUGCUUCUUCCUGUUUUAACUGUGGCAGCGUAACUUCUAUGCAGGGGAUCCAAGAGCCCUCACUGCAGUCCUUCCAGGUAAGGUUAUGUAGAUGUUAGUGCCCCACCCCCACCCCAACUUUUAUCACGUUUCUGGACCAUCACUUUGAACCGCAUUGUGCAUUGUGCAGCCCAAGGGCUUCUCUGGCCUAGAGAGUCCUUUGCCCAUUGCCUAGUUGACUGGAAAUGCCAAGAAGUGACAGUGCUUGAGGCAGAGGAUUAUCAAAGGCCCAGCCAUGCGGCUCCCUUGGAGAAAUCAGCCUGAGGUUAAUCUUUAGUUGGGUGCAGCAGGAUCUCAUUGAACACCAGCCCAAGUAGGAGAGAUACUGGUCACCUCCCUUCCUUGCCCCUUACCCCACUCCCCUGCCAGUGGUCCUUUCUCUCCUGAACCACUUCCUUGGGCCUGAAGCCUUGUCCAGGGUUUGGCUUCUGGUCCCCCACCCCCCACCCCAAUAGAAAACUUGUUCCAGUGCUUCCUGGAAUCACUGCAGAAACAGCCUAAGUGCCGACAGGCAAGAAAGGCAAUAAUUAACCCGUAAGACUUCAGAAAUCCCUCCAAUAGUGAGUCUUGAGGGCUUUGAAAUUAAAUACAUGAAAGGUAUCAUUUUUAUUAUAACUUCUCUCUUUAUUUUUAUUUUUGUCACUGAUAAGACUUUUGAUUUGUUCCCAUUGAUAAGUUCUGACCUUCACAUAGAUUUGGGGGUAGAAGCUCAUAUCUAUCCAUUCAUUCAAAUUCAGUUCCCCUUUUCCAGAGGUAUCUGCCCCAUGAAGCUCUGUUAGUUUUUCCCAAUUCAAAAUUGUGCCUUAUUCAGAACAGACACAUUGUGGAAAGGAGAGAGAGGCAGAGUCUCCAGAAUUAAACACAGCCCUGCCAACACCUUGGUUUUACCAAAUAAGACCCAUUUCAGACUUCUGGCUUCCAGAACUGUAAGAGAAUAAACUCAAUGCUGUUUGAAACUCCUUGGUCUGUGGUGAUUUGUCAGAAUGGCAGUAGGAAACAGACAGCUGCAGAGAAUAGAUGAAGUCAGUAACCAUGUGAAACUGACAGCACUAAUAGCCUGAACCUAGCCAGAACCCAGAUUGGGACUUGAACCCAUAGUUUUUAUUUUUUUUUUUUAAAUUUUAUUUUUUGUCUUUUUGCCUUUCCUAGGGCUGCUCCCUCGGCAUAUGAAGGUUCCCAGGCUAGGGGUAUAAUCAGAGCUGUAGCCACAGGCCAACACCAAGCCACAGCAAUGCGAGAUCUGAGCCGCGUCUGCAACCCACACCACAGCUCACAGCAACGCCACUCGACUUAACCCACUGAGCAAGGCCAAGGAUCGAACCCGCAACCUCAUGAUUCCUAGUCGGAUUCGUUAACCACUAAGCCACAACGGGAACCCCGAACCCAUAGUUUAUAAAUUAGAAUCACUCAUCCGGUGUAUGGACUUACUGAGGUUUGGGUUCUUUAUGCAUCUGCACAGAAGGAAUUCAGUGAGAGACAAAGUGAUAGGCAAGAAAUAGAAUUAUUAAGGUGAGACACUUGUGAGAGAUGCAAGCAGGCAGGCAGGGAGGCUCUGCCUCAAGGAUCAGUUGGGGUACAGUCUUAUAACCCUGGGGUAGUGGGAAACGACCGCCUCUUCCUAUUUCUUCAAGUAGUAGCACCUCUUCUUAACCCAUAAAAGAGUAUUUGACCCUAUGAGGUCAAACUAGGACUGUAAUGGUGCUUAUUCAAAUCAGCAGAAGGGUGGUCCUUAAAUUCCUGCCCUUGGUUUGAAUCUGAAUCCAGGCCUCACCCCAUCCCCUGCCCAAUGAUCUGAGCCAUAUCUCACACCUUCACUAGUCAAGCAAGCCUGCCUUGUUCUGAUGGCCCUCUUGAGCAGUUAUUAACUUACAGUGAUCUUCCAAAGUCCCCUAGCUUUCCAUCUCUAUCUAUGAUCCCCUAUUGUGACUUCUGCAAGUACAUGUGCCUACUCCGUCACUAUCACAUCUAGUAUCGAAGUCAACAUGAGCAUCAGCCACAGCCUACUUUUUGUAAUAUUUCGUUACAGGUUGAUUCAAUCCAAAGAAGUUGGUCAGGUAGGGUUUGCCUGGAACGCUCUCAGUAAUUAGCUCCAAGGUUCUAAAGGCCACUGUGUCUGUCUGCAACAAGAUUAACUUCAGAAACAUGGCCUUUGGGACCAUGGGACACAAUUUUGGUUUACUCAGUCCAUGUGUCUAGUCUUUUCCCAAUGUGCCUUAUGGUGGGCAUAACUCGUGCCAACCUUUCUUUAAAAGUGGGCCAACAACUUUCUUGGCUCUUUUUGACCACUUUUCAUAAAUGCCUGUGCCUGCUGACCACCAUGCUCCUGCUGAGAACGGUGUCCACAGUCAGUUGAGUGUCUGUUCUGUGGUGGGACUUGACCCACAGGCCUUGGUCUAUGGUGUUACCAAACUCUGGCUGCUUGCCACUCAAAGGCCAAUAAUCAACCAAUGGGACCUAGUUAAACUUAAAAGUUUUGCUCAGCAAAGGAAACCAUUAAAAAAAGAAAAGAAAAGACAACCCACAGAAUAGGAGAAAAUAUUUGCAAACAAAACAACCAACAAGGGAUUAAUCUACAAAAUAUACAAACAUCUCACAGAGCUUUAUAUCAAAAAAUAAAAAACCCAAUCAAAAAAUGGGCAGAAGAUCUAAAAAGACAUUUCUCCGAGGCAGACAGACAGAUGGCCAAAAAACACAUGAAAAGAUGCUUAACACGACUAAUUAUUAUAGAAGUGAUAGUUAAACGACAAUGAGGUAUCACCUCAUACCAGUCAGAAUGGCCAUCAUCAAAAAGUCUACAAACAAUAAACGCUGGGAAGAGUGUGGAGAAAACAGAACCCUCCUCCACUGUUGGUGGGAAUGUAAAUGGGCGCAACCACUAUGGAGAGUAGUACGGAGGUUCCUUAAAAAACUAAACAUAGAACUACCAUAUGAGGGAGACAGGGAUUAAGAUGGCAGAGGAGAAGGACUGGAACUCACCUUCUGCCAUAAAAGCAACAAAAUUACAACCAACUGCUGAACAACCUUCAGCCAAAUAGACUGAAAACUAUCAAAAAAGGAUAUCUUACUCCAGAAGACAAAGAGGAGGCCACAUCAAGAUGUAGGAAGGGUGAUUAUGUGAUAUAAGCAACCCCAUACCCACUGGGUGGGCAGCCCACAAACUGGAAAGUAACUAUCACAGAGGCUCACCCAUGGGAGUGAGAGUUCUGAGCCCUAUGUCAGGUUCCCAUUCCUGGGAAUCAGGCAUUGGGAGGAGGAGCCUCCAGAGAAUUUGGCAUUGAGAGCCAACAGGGCUUGUGCUCAGAAUCUCCAUGAGACUGGGGGAAGUGGACUCCUUCCGUGAAAGGCAUACACAGGCUUCCAUGUGCGCUGAGUCUCAGGGCAAAGCAGAGACUCCAAAGGAAUAUGGGUCAGACCUGACUGCAGUUCUUGGGGGAUCUCCUGGGAAAAUAGGGGGUGACUGUGGCUCAUUGUGGGGGAAGGACAUUGGAGGCAAAUCUCAGGAAUAAUCAGCAUGUGCUCCUCUAGAGGUGGCCAUUUUGGAAAACUCUGGCCCCACUCAUCAGCACUGAAAAGCCCCAGGCCAAACAACAUCUGCUUGGGAACACAGUCCCACCCAUCAGAAAACAGACUGCCUAAAGACCCUCCAGGCACAAAGCUGCCUCUAAUAUCACCUAGAGACAAAGCCCCACGCAGCAGAGGGAUAAGAAUCAGCUCUACCUACCAGUGGGCAGGUACCAGUACCAUCAGGAAGCCUGCAGGAAGCCCGUGUACCAACUUCACCCAAAAGGGGAGCAGACAUCAGAAGCAAGAGAGGCAAUGACCCUAUGUCUGCAAAAAGGAGACCACCAAAAAUCAACACAAAAUGAAAAGACAGAGAAUUAUGACUCAGAUAAGGGAACAAGAAAAAAGCUAAGUGAUAUGGAGAUUAACAACCUCCAAGAAAAAGACUUUAGAAUGAUAAUAGUAAAGGUGAUUCAAGAUCUUGGAAAUAAACUGGAGGCAAAGAUUCAUAAAUUACAAGAAACAAUGGCAUUCCUGUUGUGGCACAGUGGUUAAUGAAUACGACUAGGAACCAUGAGGUUGCAGGUUUGGUCCCUGGCCUCGCUUAGUGGGUUAAGGAUCUGGCAUUGCCAUGAGCUGUGGUGUAGGUGGCAGACGCAGCUUGGAUCUGGCAUUGCUGUGGCUCUGCUGUAGGCCGGUGGCUACAGCUCUGAUUGGAUCCCUAGCCUGGGAACCUCCAUAUGCCAUGGGAGGGGCCCUAAAAAAGGAAAAAAAAAAUUACAGGGAACAAUGAACAAAGAAAUAGAAGAUUUAAGGACUAAGCAAGAAGAGAUGUAAAAUACAACAACUAAAUAAAAAAUUCACUAGAGGCAACCAACAGCAGAAUACAGGAGGCAGAAGAAUGAAUAAACAGGGUGAAGGAUAGACUAGUUGAAAUUACUGAUGCAGAACAGAAAAGAGAAUAAAGAUUUAAAAGAAAUGAAGAGAGUCUAAGAGAACUCUGGGACAAGUUAAAUGCACCAUAAUCCAUAUUAUAGGGAUGCCAGAAGGAGAAGAGACAGAGAAACGGACAUAAAAAAUAUUCGAAGAGAUAACAGCAAAAAAUUUCCCUAACAUAGGAAAGGAAUCAUUCACUCAAAUCCAGGAAGCACAGUGAGUACCAUAUAAAAUAAACCCAAGGAGGAACACCCCAAGACACAUAUUCAUCAAACUGACCAAAAUUAAAGAUAAAGAGAAAAUAUUGAAAGCACUAGGGAAAAGAAAAAAAA
rnacentral:lncRNA from 1 species